rnacentral:rRNA from 1 species
GACGAACGCUGGCGGCGUGCUUAACACAUGCAAGUCGAACGAUGAACCACUUCGGUGGGGAUUAGUGGCGAACGGGUGAGUAACACGUGGGCAAUCUGCCCUUCACUCUGGGACAAGCCCUGGAAACGGGGUCUAAUACCGGAUACGAGCCUCCACGGCAUCUUGGAGGUUGGAAAGCUCCGGCGGUGAAGGAUGAGCCCGCGGCCUAUCAGCUUGUUGGUGAGGUAAUGGCUCACCAAGGCGCCGACGGGUAGCCGGCCUGCGAGGGCGACCGGCCAAACUGGGACUGAGACACGGCCCAGACGGCUACGGGAGGCAGCAGUGGGGAAUAUUGCACAAUGGGCCAAAGCCUGAUGCAGCGACGCCGCGUGAGGGAUGACGGCCUUCGGGUUGUAAAACUCUUUCAGCAGGGAAGAAGCGAAAGUGACGGUACCUGCAGAAGAAGCGCCGGCUAACUACGUGCCAGCAGCCGCAGUAAAAC